rnacentral:lncRNA from 1 species
UGAUAGUGAUGGUGACGACGAUCUCUUUGGCCGCAACAGAGAGGAAAGAUGGGCACACAUUAGUGAGAGAGAGGGAUGAAGGGAGAGAGGCAAUGAUUUAGAGGAAAAGAUGAGGGAUGGAGAGGUGAGGAUUGUAAAUAGCGACGGAUCGUUUAGAUAUAUUAAUUGAAAGUUUUGUGGAUAAAAAAGGAAGGUCAUGAUGAAUUAAUUAGAAAUAGAAAUGUGAGGAUUACAAAUGGUAGUGGAAGGUGGAGGUGGAGGUUGAGGAAAGGGGAAUGGUCAUGAUGAAUUAAUUAGAAAUAGAAAUAUGAGAAUUAUAUAUAUGAAUUAAUUAGAAAUAAAAAGGUGAUGAUUAUAUAUGGCUAGCAGAAGGUCAUGAUGAAUUAAUUAGAAAUAUAAAUGUGAAAAUUAUAAAUGGCAGUUGGAGAUGGAGGAAAGAGGAAGGUGAAGAAUUAUGAUGAAUUAACUAGAAAUAAAAUAGUAAGGAUUAUAUAUGGCUGUGAAAAUAUUUAAAUACAUUAAUUGAAAGUUUGAUAAUAUGACCAUUUAGAUAUAUCAAUUAGAUAUAUUAAUUAAAAACUUGAUGGAGGGAAGGGUAAGAGUGA